rnacentral:rRNA from 1 species
UGGGGAAUAUUGCACAAUGGGGGAAACCCUGAUGCAGCGACGCCGCGUGAAGGAAGAAGUAUCUCGGUAUGUAAACUUCUAUCAGCAGGGAAGAUAAUGACGGUACCUGACUAAGAAGCCCCGGCUAACUACGUGCCAGCAGCCGCGGUAAUACGUAGGGGGCAAGCGUUAUCCGGAUUCAUUGGGUUUAAAGGGUGCGCAGGCGGGUCUGUAAGCCCGUGGUGAAAGCCUGGUGCUCAACGCCAGAGGUGCCGCGGGAACUGCAGGUCUUGAGUCGUGACGAGGGCGGCGGAAUGCGAAGUGUAGCGGUGAAAUGCUUAGAUAGUUCGCAGAACGCCGAUUGCGAAGGCAGCCGCCCAGGGACGCACUGACGCUGAGGCACGAAGGCAUGGGGAUCGAACAGGAUUAGAUACCCUGGUAGU